AUGCAUCGUGAUUCCUGUCUGUUGGAUUGCAGGGUUUAUGUAGGUAAUCUUGGAAGCAAUGGAAAUAAGACUGAAGUGGAAUGAGCUUUUGGCCAUUGUGGACUACUCUAAAGUGUGUGGGUUGUUAGAAACCCUCCUGGCUUUGCUUUUGUUGAAUUUGAAGAUCCCCAAGAUGCAGCGGACGCUGUCCAAGAGCUAGAUGAAAGAAUGCUGUGUGGCUGUCCUGUGAGAGUGGAGCUGUCAAACGGUGAGAAAAGAAGUAGAAAUCGUGGCCCACCUCCCUCUUGGGGUCGUCAUCCUUGGGAUGACUGUCAUGAGAGGAGCCCUCCACCUCGGCACAGAUCUCCAGGAAGGAGAAGCUUCUCUUGCAGCUGGAGCACAUCCCUUUCUGGAGAGAGGACAGAGAGAGAUCGCUGUCCCGGGAGAGGAAUCAUAAGCCAUCCCUAUCCUUCUCUAGGUCUUGUAACCCAUCUAGGUCAAAUGAAAGGAAAUAGAAGACCAGUUUGCAAGAAACGUGGUAUUCAGGAAAUAACUUUAUUUGACAGGAGUAUGUACAGAAAAUUCAAGUUUUGUUUGAGACUUCAUAAGUUUGGUGCAUUUUUAAGAUGUUUUAGCUGUUCAGAUUUGUUUGUCUCUUGGAACAGUGACACACAAACUCUAUGGUUUGAAAUGGAUCAUAUGAGGUAUGUAAUACCAAGAAGUGUUACUUUACAAUGUUCCCUUAAGCAAAAAUGGAUUUGCAUGGAACUUCAGUUAUGCAUAGACUGAUAAUAAACCUCUAAAUUCUGCCCAGC